UAAGUAUACCAUGUUUCAAUUUAUGUACCAAAAUUUACUUUUAAGAUUUAAUUAUCAAUGAUUUAUUAGGGGCUUGAUUUGUGGAACAAAAUAUUACCAUAUCUUCUUUCCCCAAUUAUAUACUUAUUAAUUAUAAAUGAUUAUCCCUUAAUUAUAAACAGUUAAAUAGGUAAUAAUUGAUACCCUAUCAAUUUCUCUCUUUCUCUCCCCCGUCUCUCUU
rnacentral:lncRNA from 1 species